rnacentral:rRNA from 1 species
GACGAACGCUGGCGGCGUACUUAACACAUGCAAGUCGAACGCUGAAGCUUGGUGCUUGCACUGGGUGGAUGAGUGGCGAACGGGUGAGUAAUACGUGAGUAACCUGCCCUUGACUCUGGGAUAAUCCUGGGAAACUGGGUCUAAUACUGGAUACGACAUGUCACCGCAUGGUGGUGUGUGGAAAGGGUUUUACUGGUUUUGGAUGGGCUCACGGCCUAUCAGCUUGUUGGUGGGGUAAUGGCUCACCAAGGCGACGACGGGUAGCCGGCCUGAGAGGGUGACCGGCCACACUGGGACUGAGACACGGCACAGACUCCUACGGGAGGCAGCAGUGGGGAAUAUUGCACAAUGGGCGGAAGCCUGAUGCAGCGACGCCGCGUGAGGGAUGACGGCCUUCGGGUUGUAACCCUCUUUCAGCACGGAAGAAGCGAAAGUGACGGUACGUGCAGAAGAAGCGCCGGCUAACUACGUG